GUCCUUAUAGCUCUAUGGUUCAAUGGCAUCAUACAUGACCACGGCAAAGGGGAGAGGCUGGAGCAAAGGAAACUCCUCCCUGGUUGUCUUUCUCAUCAAGGGCAGAAGCCAAAUAGACAAUCACAUCAGGACCUAGUGGACUUAAUGAUCCUCAGAAUAGUGUCAAAGAGAUAAAGGUGAAGUGCGCUAUUUUCAGCCCAGAGGGUCUCCAUUCUUUCCAGGUUCCAGCUAUAUUGGGGCAAGUUGCAUGGGAGGCGUAUUAAAGGGAACAAUCCAGUCUAUCACAAAAGGCCCUGAGAUUGGACGGCGUGGUAAGAAAAUCCAUUAAAACCGCCUCUGGCUUUGACCAUGUUUGCCUAUAAAUUAAGCUCUGGUACCUAAGCCAUUUUCUCUUUCCUGCCCUUCCAGGUUGAAGGAAGAGAAGCUAAGAGGAUGAAAUAGGAAUUCAAAGUGCAAGUCCAUCAUACCAAAGAGCUGUCUCAAUUACAUCCUGACCCCUUUUAGUAAUGUGGCCAGGGGUGUGCUUGCAGUUGGUUUAGUCCCCUGACAUUUCACCACCUCCAAGAUAGGCCUGGGACUGCUGAGACCCCAGUGGUAACCAAACCAAGGAUCCUGAGAACUUCCCAGUGCCCAAGCUGGCAAACAAAAGAACAUGAGUGUUGUUUGGGUUAGGUAAGCCGAUACUGCUCUUCCUUUCCAAACUAUCUGGGUCUGUGGAAGCUGGAUAUAUUAGUUUCCGAAGGUUGCAAUAACAAGGGACCACAAACGGGGUGGGGGUAGGUGGGGAGGGGGUUAAAAUAACAGAAAUGUAUUUUCUCAGAGUCCUGAAGGAUAGAAGUCUAAAAUCAAGGUAUCAGCAGGGCCAUGUUCCCUCCGAAGGUUCUGUUCCCUGCCUCUCUCCUGGCUUCUGGGAGCCUCAGUCAUUCCUUGGCUUAUAGAUGCUUCCUUUCAAUUUCCCACCUUCUCAUAGGGUUUCUUCUAUCUCAUCACAGCAUCUUCCCUCUGUAUAUGGCUGUGUCUAAAUUCUCCCUUUUUAUAAGGAUAUGAGUCAUAUUGGAUUAGAAGCCCACCCUACUGGCUGGGGUAAUUGAGCUAUACCCAAAGAUGAGUAUGACCUCAUCUUAACUAAUUAUAUCUGCAAUUACCCUGUUUCCAAGUAAGGUCCCAUUAUGAGGUCCUGGAGGUCAGGUCUUCAACAUCUUUUGGGGAACACAAUUCAACCCAUGACAAUGGGCUUCUGUAAUUUAUGAUCAAGGGGUCAAGAUUUGAAAGUAACAUUCCUGAAAGAUUAAAGACCGUGAAGAUGUACUCCUUGUCCCCAGUGUCCCUUCACCAGAAACAAUACAUUUUGCUGGACACCAACACAAGCAGUUCCAAGCCAGAUACUGGCUUAUAAUCUCUCUCUCUUCACCCAGCCCACAACUAACUCCUCCAUGAGCUGCCAAACACUCAGUAUACAUUCUCGUCACCAAGAAAUGCCACUGGAAUGAAUCUGCACCAAAGCUGUUUAUGUGACUAAUGAACCUCCAUUACGUUGCAUCCAAAGAUGAGAAGAGUCCAGGCUUCAGUUACAGACAGACCGGGGUUCUUCCUAGCUAAACUCUGGAUGUGUUUCUUUACUGCUCUGAGCUUGAGCUUGCCUUCAAAUGGUGGUGGGCAUGACAGCCAAUCCAACU
rnacentral:lncRNA from 10 species